UACGUAGGUGGCUAGCGUUGUCCGGAUUUACUGGGCGUAAAGAGCGCGCAGGCGGUCGUUCAAGUCGAGUGUGAAAGCCCCCGGCUCAACUGGGGAGGGUCACUCGAUACUGAUCGACUUGAAGGCGGGAGAGGGAAGCGGAAUUCCCGGUGUAGUGGUGAAAUGCGUAGAUAUCGGGAGGAACACCAGUGGCGAAGGCGGCCUUCUGGACGGAUACUGACGCUGAGGCGCGAAAGCCAGGGGAGCAAACGGG
rnacentral:rRNA from 1 species